rnacentral:rRNA from 1 species
AGCAGCCGCGGUAAUUCCAGCUCCAAUAGCGUAUAUUAAAGUUGUUGCAGUUAAAAAGCUCGUAGUUGAAUUUCAGGCCUGGCUGGACGGUCCGCCCAUCGGGUGAGUACUGUCUGUGGUCGGGUCCUACCUUCUGGCGAAGCGUCAUGGCCUUAACCGGCUGUGGCGGGGAACCAGGACUUUUACUGUGAAAAAAUUAGAGUGUUCAAAGCAGGCAAUCGCUUGGAUACAUUAGCAUGGAAUAAUGGAAUAGGACAAUGGUUCUAUUUGUUGGUUUCUAGGACCGUUGUAAUGAUUAAUAGGGAUAGUUGGGGGCAUUAGUAUUCAAUUGUCAGAGGUGAAAUUCUUGGAUUUAUUGAAGACUAACUACUGCGAAAGCAUUUGCCAAGGAUGUUUUCAUUAAUCAAGAACGAAAGUUAGGGGAUCGAAGACGAUCAGAUACCGUCGUAGUCUUAACCAUAAACUAUGCCGACUAGGAAUCGGGCAAUGUUGAAAAAAUGACGCGCUCGGCACCUCAUG